rnacentral:rRNA from 1 species
CCGCCGGCGACCGGCGCACGGGUGAGUAACACGUAUGCAACCUGCCCUCUUCAGGGGACAACCUUCCGAAAGGGAGGCUAAUCCCGCGUAUAUCGGUUUCGGGCAUCCGAGAUCGAGGAAAGAUUCAUCGGAAGAGGAUGGGCAUGCGGCGCAUUAGCUAGACGGCGGGGUAACGGCCCACCGUGGCGACGAUGCGUAGGGGUUCUGAGAGGAAGGUCCCCCACACUGGUACUGAGACACGGACCAGACUCCUACGGGAGGCAGCAG